CUCAGAUUGAACGCUGGCGGCAGGCCUAACACAUGCAAGUCGAACGGUAACAGGAAGCAGCUUGCUGCUUUGCUGACGAGUGGCGGACGGGUGAGUAAUGUCUGGGAAACUGCCUGAUGGAGGGGGAUAACUACUGGAAACGGUAGCUAAUACCGCAUAACGUCGCAAGACCAAAGAGGGGGACCUUCGGGCCUCUUGCCAUCGGAUGUGCCCAGAUGGGAUUAGCUAGUAGGUGGGGUAACGGCUCACCUAGGCGACGAUCCCUAGCUGGUCUGAGAGGAUGACCAGCCACACUGGAACUGAGACACGGUCCAGACUCCUACGGGAGGCAGCAGUGGGGAAUAUUGCACAAUGGGCGCAAGCCUGAUGCAGCCAUGCCGCGUGUAUGAAGAAGGCCUUCGGGUUGUAAAGUACUUUCAGCGGGGAGGAAGGCGAUAAGGUUAAUAACCUUGUCGAUUGACGUUACCCGCAGAAGAAGCACCGGCUAACUCCGUGCCAGCAGCCGCGGUAAUACGGAGGGUGCAAGCGUUAAUCGGAAUUACUGGGCGUAAAGCGCACGCAGGCGGUCUGUCAAGUCGGAUGUGAAAUCCCCGGGCUCAACCUGGGAACUGCAUUCGAAACUGGCAGGCUAGAGUCUUGUAGAGGGGGGUAGAAUUCCAGGUGUAGCGGUGAAAUGCGUAGAGAUCUGGAGGAAUACCGGUGGCGAAGGCGGCCCCCUGGACAAAGACUGACGCUCAGGUGCGAAAGCGUGGGGAGCAAACAGGAUUAGAUACCCUGGUAGUCCACGCCGUAAACGAUGUCGACUUGGAGGUUGUGCCCUUGAGGCGUGGCUUCCGGAGCUAACGCGUUAAGUCGACCGCCUGGGGAGUACGGCCGCAAGGUUAAAACUCAAAUGAAUUGACGGGGGCCCGCACAAGCGGUGGAGCAUGUGGUUUAAUUCGAUGCAACGCGAAGAACCUUACCUACUCUUGACAUCCAGAGAACUUUCCAGAGAUGGAUUGGUGCCUUCGGGAACUCUGAGACAGGUGCUGCAUGGCUGUCGUCAGCUCGUGUUGUGAAAUGUUGGGUUAAGUCCCGCAACGAGCGCAACCCUUAUCCUUUGUUGCCAGCGGUUAGGCCGGGAACUCAAAGGAGACUGCCAGUGAUAAACUGGAGGAAGGUGGGGAUGACGUCAAGUCAUCAUGGCCCUUACGAGUAGGGCUACACACGUGCUACAAUGGCGCAUACAAAGAGAAGCGACCUCGCGAGAGCAAGCGGACCUCAUAAAGUGCGUCGUAGUCCGGAUUGGAGUCUGCAACUCGACUCCAUGAAGUCGGAAUCGCUAGUAAUCGUGGAUCAGAAUGCCACGGUGAAUACGUUCCCGGGCCUUGUACACACCGCCCGUCACACCAUGGGAGUGGGUUGCAAAAGAAGUAGGUAGCUUAACCUUCGGGAGGGCGCUUACCACUUUGUGAUUCAUGACUGGGGUGAAGUCGUAACAAGGUAACCGUAGGGGAACCUGCGGUUGGAUCACCUCCUUACCUUAAAGAA
rnacentral:rRNA from 1 species